rnacentral:rRNA from 2 species
CCUACGGGGUGCAGCAGGCGCGAAACCUCUGCAAUAGGCGAAAGCCUGACAGGGUUACUCUGAGUGACUUUCGCUAAGAAAGUCUUUUGACACCUCUAAAAAUGGUGUAGAAUAAGGGGUGGGCAAGUCUGGUGUCAGCCGCCGCGGUAAUACCAGCACCCCGAGUGGUCGGGACGAUUAUUGGGCCUAAAGCAUCCGUAGCCGGUUUUACAAGUCCUCCGUUAAAUCCAGCUGCUUAACAGAUGGGCUGCGGAGGAUACUAUAAGACUAGGAGGCAGGAGAGGCAAGCGGUACUCAGUGGGUAGGGGUAAAAUCCGUUGAUCCAUUGAAGACCACCAGUGGCGAAGGCGGCUUGCCAGAAUGCGCUCGACGGUGAGGGAUGAAAGCUGGGGGAGCAAACCGGAUUAGAUACCCCAGUAGUCC